ACCACCGAAGACAUGAGAAGAAUAUCUGUGAUUAAGGGAAGGGAGGGAGGAUCUGGGUUUGGGAUGAGUUCCGACUGGUGUGUGUGUGUGUGUGUGUGUGUGUGUCUGAGAGAGAGAGAGAGAGAGAGAGAGAGAGAGAGUGUUUGUGUGUGUGUGUGAGAGAGAGAGAGAGAGAGGGAGAGAGUGUGUAUGUGUGUGUGUGUGUGUGUGUGUGUGUGUGUACCGGGCGGGGAGGGGGGUCCAGAUAUAGAUCGUGACCCUCCCACCUAGUACAGUUUCUUGUAUAUAGUUCCAAAAAGGGAUUGCCAGAGACUUUGUGGUGCAUUUUUGACAAAUGAUUGCUAUGUGGAUAUAGGAACAGGAAUUCUCUGGGUUUUACAAAAACAUUUGGAAGGAGUCUAGUCACUAAAGACGUCUCAGAGUCUUCUUCAUGCUGCCCCAUGCACAUUAUUCACCUCUAUGGUGAAUCCUGGAAAUCUGAAGAUCCACAGAUGUCAUCUGAGGCACCACCUACAAUUUUCUGCUUCUAU